GCUAUUGUAGCAGAAAUGGUAGUGCCUCCAAUUAACAAUUAGAAGAUCCGUGGUUCGAAUCCUUGCGAAGGCG
rnacentral:tRNA from 1 species